AGAGUUUGAUCCUGGCUCAGAGUGAACGCUGGCGGCGUGGAUUAGGCAUGCAAGUCGAGCGAUUCCGCAAGGAAUAGCGGCAAACGGGUUAGUAACACGUGAGUAAUCUGCCUCUAAGACGGGAAUAGCUUCGUGAAAACGGAGGUAAUUCCCGAUGAAAUCAAGAUAGCGUAUGUUAUUUUUAUCAAAGGUAGGGACCGCAAGGCCUACCGCUUAGAGAUGAGCUCGCGUCCUAUCAGCUAGUUGGCGGGGUAAUGGCCCACCAAGGCUUAUGACGGGUAGCUGGUCUGAGAGGACGAUCAGCAACACUGGGACUGAGACACUGCCCAGACUCCUACGGGAGGCUGCAGUGGAGAAUCUUUAGCAAUGGGCGCAAGCCUGACUAUGCGACGCCGCGUGAGGGAUGAAGGUCUUCGGAUCGUAAACCUCUUUUUACAGGAAAGAAAACUCCAACGUUAAUAGCGUUGGAGCUGACGGUACCUGUCGAAUAAGCCACGGCCAACUCCGUGCCAGCAGCCGCGGUAAUACGGAGGUGGCAAGCGUUACUCGGAAUCAUUGGGUGUAAAGGGCAAGUAGGUGGUUUAGUAAGUGAGGGGUGAAAUCUUCCGACUCAAUCGGAAAACUGCCUUUCAAACUGCUAGACUUGAGGUUGGAAGAGGAAAAUGGAAUUCUCGGUGUAAGGGUGAAAUCUGUAGAGAUCGAGAAGAACACCAGCGGCGAAGGCGAUUUUCUGGUCCAUACCUGACACUAAAUUGCGAAAGCUAGGGGAGCAAACAGAAUUAGAUACUCUGGUAGUCCUAGCUGUAAACGAUGAGCACUAGGUGUUGGCCCGUAAGGGUCAGUGCCGCAGCUAACGCAUUAAGUGCUCCACCUGGGGACUACGGCCGCAAGGUUAAAAC
rnacentral:rRNA from 1 species